ACCUCACUGACACUGUGGUUUGAGUGUUGGACUAUGACUCUGGAGUCCAGGGUUCGAUUCCCAGCUUGGUCA